rnacentral:rRNA from 1 species
UACAGAGGGUGCAAGCGUUAAUCGGAAUUACUGGGCGUAAAGCGUGCGUAGACGGUUAUUUAAGUCAGAUGUGAAAGCCCCGGGCUCAACCUGGGAAUUGCAUUUGAGACUGCGUAGCUAGGGUGCGGAAGAGGGAAGCGGAAUUUCCGGUGUAGCGGUGAAAUGCGUAGAUAUCGGAAGGAACACCAGUGGCGAAAGCGGCUUCCUGGUCCAGCACCGACGUUCAGGCACGAAAGCGUGGGGAGCAAACAGG